rnacentral:rRNA from 1 species
AUGAACGCUAGCGGCAGGCUUAACACAUGCAAGUCGAGGGGCAGCGGGGAGUAGCAAUACUCCGCCGGCGACCGGCGCACGGGUGCGUAACGCGUAUGCAACCUACCUUUAACAGGGGCAUAACACUGAGAAAUUGGUACUAAUUCCCCAUAACAUUCGAGAAGGCAUCUUCUUGGGUUAAAAACUCCGGUGGUUAAAGAUGGGCAUGCGUUGUAUUAGCUAGUUGGUGAGGUAACGGCUCACCAAGGCAACGAUACAUAGGGGGACUGAGAGGUUAACCCCCCACAUUGGUACUGAGACACGGACCAAACUCCUACGGGAGGCAGCAGUGAGGAAUAUUGGUCAAUGGACGCAAGUCUGAACCAGCCAUGCCGCGUGCAGGAAGACGGCUCUAUGAGUUGUAAACUGCUUUUGUACUAGGGUAAACGCUUCUACGUGUAGGAGCCUGAAAGUAUAGUACGAAUAAGGAUCGGCUAACUCCGUGCCAGCAGCCGCGGUAAUACGGAGGAUCCAAGCGUUAUCCGGAUUUAUUGGGUUUAAAGGGUGCGUAGGCGGUUUGAUAAGUUAGAGGUGAAAUACCGGGGCUCAACUCCGGAACUGCCUCUAAUACUGUUGAACUAGAGAGUAGUUGCGGUAGGCGGAAUGUAUGGUGUAGCGGUGAAAUGCUUAGAGAUCAUACAGAACACCGAUUGCGAAGGCAGCUUACCAAACUAUAUCUGACGUUGAGGCACGAAAGCGUGGGGAGCAAACAGGAUUAGAUACCCUGGUAGUCCACGCCGUAAACGAUGAGUGCUAAGUGUUAGGGGGUUUCCGCCCCUUAGUGCUGCAGCUAACGCAUUAAGCACUCCGCCUGGGGAGUACGACCGCAAGGUUGAAACUCAAAGGAAUUGACGGGGGCCCGCACAAGCGGAGGAACAUGUGGUUUAAUUCGAUGAUACGCGAGGAACCUUACCCGGGCUUGAAAGUUAGUGACGAUUCUGGAAACAGGAUUUCCCUUCGGGGCACGAAACUAGGUGCUGCAUGGUUGUCGUCAGCUCGUGCCGUGAGGUGUCGGGUUAAGUCCCAUAACGAGCGCAACCCCUACCGUUAGUUGCCAUCAGGUCAAGCUGGGCACUCUGGCGGGACUGCCGGUGUAAGCCGAGAGGAAGGUGGGGAUGACGUCAAAUCAGCACGGCCCUUACGUCCGGGGCUACACACGUGUUACAAUGGUAGGUACAGAGGGCCGCUACCCCGCGAGGGGAUGCCAAUCUCGAAAGCCUAUCUCAGUUCGGAUCGGAGGCUGAAACCCGCCUCCGUGAAGUUGGAUUCGCUAGUAAUCGCGCAUCAGCCAUGGCGCGGUGAAUACGUUCCCGGGCCUUGUACACACCGCCCGUCAAGCCAUGGAAGCUGGGGGUGCCUGAAGUUCGUGACCGCAAGGAGCGACCUAGGGCAAAACCGGUGACUGGGGCU